CCUAGCCUGGUAGCGGGGGAUAACUAUUGGAAACGAUAGCUAAUACCGCAUAACAGUAGAUAUCGCAUGAUAGCUGCUUGAAAGGUGCAAAUGCACCACUACCAGAUGGACCUGCGUUGUAUUAGCUAGUUGGUGAGGUAACGGCUCACCAAGGCAACGAUACAUAGCCGACCUGAGAGGGUGAUCGGCCACACUGGGACUGAGACACGGCCCAG
rnacentral:rRNA from 1 species